GAGAAGAGGGAGCGCGCGCUGUGGGAGUCCGCUGGUGACGAGAGGAGGGAGCGCGCGCUGUGGGAGUCCGCUGGUGACGAGAGGAGGGAGCGGCGGCGGCGGCUGCUGCUGCUACUGAAGAGGAAGCGCGGCAGGCUACUUCUGCUGCAAGCGCUGAACUGCAACUGGAAGUGCUUUUAUUAUGCAGUUCAAAGUGCUUACCGCUCAAAACACCCAGAGAUCCAAGAGCAGAAUCUGCAACUAUACUGCAGAGAUGGAAACGGAUGAAGAUUUAUACAGUUCCUGAAGUUAUAGUAAAGAGUAAACACCCAAAGAAUGGCUAUGUGAAAAUGUUACUAUAUUGACAUCUUGGCGACGGAACUGUUCAGUUCUUUAAAUGGCAAAUCUGUAAAUAUUACUGCAGUGCAAUGUUUUUGUUUAUAUGUUGGCAACUGUGUCUAAAAUAACCAGCAUGCCUUUUCCCUGUGAUUGCAUUUAAUAGGGUUCAUCUGACUUGACUGGUGUUGCUUCAUGCCAGUUUGAGACACUGCUGCUCCUCUGAAACUCCACACUUUAAAAGAUAAAAAUACCUUGGUUGGAUUAUUUUUUUUGUAUUUCAUUGUACAGCCUCCUAAAAUAAAAGGAAAAUCCCAUUCUUUUUGUGAACUGAAGAGAUGGUUACUCAAAAAAGAAGAGAUACUCAAAAUGGUUCUAAAGUGUAUUUAUAUUUCAUUUCAGUUUCAAAUUGUAUCGCUUUUUCCAAGGAAAUAAUUUGACUUCCCCAUACAUUAAUCACUUUGAUAAGACCUGCUAUUUAUUUAUUUUGAGAAGGUAGUAGGAUAGACGUGAAGAGAAUUGUGAUGGAUCCUGAUUGACUAUUGUUGCCAUGCACAUCUAUUUUCUACUGACUAUAUUUAGCAAAUUCACAUUGGAAUUAAACCUUCUGAAAAAUCAAGAAUCAUGUCCUUCCCCCACCUGCCCCCCAUGACAAUGAUUUAUCAGUCCUUUCCUUAAAGGUUGUGCGUCACUGGGAACACCACUGGAAGAAUCUAGUAACUAUUGUCACCUUAGUAGACAAAUCUAAGUAGUGCUAAAAUCUACUUAACCUUCAGGGUAAAUACAGACAUUUCGGUGAAUGAUCGUUCCCACACCAACAAUUGCUCUUCUUACCGCAUAAUUCUGCCCCAAAUCCAAACUCUCCUCUCAAUUCUCUGCAAUUCCAGCAUUACACAAGGUCAUAAGGAAUAGGGGUAGCAUUAGGCCAUUCGGACGAUCGAGUCUUCUCCGCCAUUCAAUCAUGGCUGAUCUAUCUCGGCCUCCUAACCCCAUUCUCCUGCCUUCUCCCAAUAGCCCCUGACACCUGUACUAAUCAAUUAUUUAUCAAUCUCUGCCUUAAAAAUAUUCACUGACUUGGCCUCCACAGCCUUGUGGCAAAGAAUUGCACAGAUUCACCACCCUCUGACUAAAGAAAUUCCUCCUCAUCUCCUUCCUGAAAGAACGUCCUUUAAUUCUGAGAUUAUGACUUCUAGACUCCCACUAGUGGAAACACCCUCUCCACAUCCAAGCCUUUCACUGUUCUGUGUGUUUCAAGGAGGACCCCCAUCAUUCUUCUAAACUCCAGCAAGUACAUGCCUCAUGCUUACAAACGUUCAUCACAGGUUAACCUACUCAUUCCUGGGAUCAUUCUUGUAAACCUCUCCAGAGCCAUCACACAUCCUUCCUCAGAUAUGGUGCCCAAAAUUGCUCACAAUAUUCCAAAUUCGACCUUACCAUCGCCUUAUAGAGCCUCAGCAUGACAUCCAUGUUUUUGUAUAUAAGCCCUCUUUAAAUAAAUAUUAGCAUUGCGUUUGCUUUCUUUACUACC